rnacentral:rRNA from 1 species
AGUGAACGCUGGCGGUAGGCCUAACACGUGCAAGUCGAACGGCGGCACAGUAAGAGCUUGCUCUUACGGGUGGCGAGUGGCGGACGGGUGAGGAAUACAUCGGAAUCUACUUUUUCGUGGGGGAUAACGUAGGGAAACUUACGCUAAUACCGCAUACGACCUACGGGUGAAAGCAGGGGAUCUUCGGACCUUGCGCGAUUGAAUGAGCCGAUGUCGGAUUAGCUAGUUGGCGGGGUAAAGGCCCACCAAGGCGACGAUCCGUAGCUGGUCUGAGAGGAUGAUCAGCCACACUGGAACUGAGACACGGUCCAGACUCCUACGGGAGGCAGCAGUGGGGAAUAUUGGACAAUGGGAGCAAGCCUGAUCCAGCCAUACCGCGUGGGUGAAGAAGGCCUUCGGGUUGUAAAGCCCUUUUGUUGGGAAAGAAAAGCAGCAGGUUAAUACCCCGCUGUUCUGACGGUACCCAAAGAAUAAGCACCGGCUAACUUCGUG